ACCUGGUUGGCUCAGUCGGUAGGGCAUGUGACUCUUGUCUUGAUCUCAGGGUUGUGAGUUUGAACCCCACAUUGGGUG
rnacentral:tRNA from 1 species